UCAUUAAAGUACGGCCAGUCAUUAUGUAACAUUUUGAAGUGAUUGCAGUUGCAGGACUCUCUCUCUCUCUCUCACACACACACAUACACCUAGUGCUCCUUUAGCCUGUAAAUAAUUCAAAAAAGGAAAUGCAUGUUGUCUGUCUUAGGGGAUAUUCCAUACUGGAUCGUGCAAAAUUCCUGGGGAACCACAUGGGGGAAUGAGGGUUAUGUUUAUAUAAAAAUUGGUGGAAACGUUUGUGGUAUUGCAGACUCUGUGGCAUCCGUUUUUCUUUAACAGCACUGUAUAUUUGUCUGUGCUUUGUGUGUGUGUGUGUUCACUACUGCCAAAAUUGAAAUCAGUCAUCUGUUUGCCUUCAAAUUACAUUUUAAAUAAUGUUUUUAUUGAGAUGUCACCAUCUUGCAUCACUAAAACUAAAUAAAUCACUUCACUUGUUGAUACAUUUUGGAUCAUAACUGAGUAAUUAGCACACAUACACCACUAUAAGACUAAUAACAACACAUGCACUGUAUAAAAUAUGUAUCUUAUUAAAUACAUAAGGUAGAUACAUGUCAUGGGUAAUAUAAGUCAAAUUUAUCUAUACAGAUAUCACAUUAAUCACCACAUAAAUACAUAACAAAACUGAUUUAACACCAAAUAGAAUACUAUACAAAACGCAUCUAUAACAACUAUAUUAUUAACAUUAUGUACAAAUUUUACGGUUCAUAUUUUAUAGUUUUACAUUUACAUUCUGCAAAUAGUUUCAAUUUAGAUGUUGACACUGAUUGUUUAUGCAGAGGUUUACACCUACGCCUCAUCUGAACAGCUCCCUCUCUGACACCUUCUCCACAAAAGAUGAUGGGUUUGUGAAAACUCUCCAUCGACACCAGUUUGAUAAGUGCUCUCACUGAUCCAUUUGCUUUCUGGUCAGUCACAGUGAAUUUGCAUAAUUUUAUUUAGAAAACAUUGAAGCAAAUCUUAUCAAGCAGCCAUCUGCUAUACUUGAUGUCCAGUCAGGGUUAGAGAUUAGAGCAAAAUAGUCUAUUAUGGCCAUUUGAUUUAUUCAGGGUCAGAUUCACUGUCACAGAUUCUGGAGCCUGAUGUAGCUAAUGAACUAGUAAUUUUCUGUUUUGUUCUUUUUCAGCAUAAUUUUAGGAUAUUUGCUACGCUAUUAGUAUCACAAC